rnacentral:lncRNA from 1 species
AGUCCUCAGCUGCCAGUCCUCAGGCCUCCAACACCUGAGCAGCCCAUAAGCCUGCCGCCCUGAACACACUCGUACGUGCCGUUCACACCCAGAGUCAACAGAGAGAGCCAGCCCAGAAUUACUCUUUGCAGCCUCUCUAUUCAUUCAGCACAGGUCUUUUCCCCUGAAGGUAAUUAGAGCUGGUUUCUUCCGCUGCCUCCCAGAGUGACUUGACUGAUGACUGAUGAUGUACAUCAUAGAAGAUCCACGUGUCCAUCCCAGUGGCUCAUUUGAGUGUGCUUUCAGGGACACACAACCCCAGCCCAUCUCAGAAUCCUGGAUUUCUACACCUCCUUUCCAUGGAACAGUUGUGGUGGUCCCAGGUCCUGAGACCCUCUCCAGUUUGGCCUGGGAAUGCUCAAGUGUUUGAGUGGGCCCUCCUUACUGGCACCCUUCUUCUUGGGGUAGAAUGACAUCAGUGCAGUAGUCACCAUGGGCUCAGCCUGACUGAGUAAUAAGAGGAUCUGUUUGUGCAAUUGUCUCUGCAAUGUGCAACACAGAAUAUGGCAGAGACUCAAGUCAACUUUGUUUGGAGGAAAGGGACAGCAUUGGCUCCUGUCACUGAAGAAGGCACGAGUGGGAGUGAGCAGGGACACGGCUCCAGCAGGGACAGCUGCUCCAGCUUCUGUCUCAGUUUAGCUCAGGUGACAUGCUGCUACCCAAUGCCUGGAGCUGUCAACCUCUACCUGCUCCCAGUGCAGGAUCUUCAUUGUCAUUGGGUUAUUGGUCCAUCUCUGGGAUGAGAGCCUGCCUCUGAGGUCCGCUCUCAGGGACACCCGUCUCAAAUACGGUUCCCGAGGAGCAGAACUGAAGCGUGUUUAUUCAGGAUCUUGCAGUUGGAACAUUCUUUGUUGACUAAAAAGGACAUAGACGGAAAUAAAAAUGGCAUUAAUUCUA